UACGGGGGGGGCAAGCGUUGUUCGGAAUUACUGGGCGUAAAGGGCGCGUAGGCGGUCCGCUAAGUUGGAUGUGAAAACUCUGGGCUUAACCCAGAGCCUGCAUUCAAAACUGACGGGCUGGAGUUCUGGAGGGGAUAGCGGAAUUCCUGGUGUAGCGGUGAAAUGCGUAGAUAUCUGGAGGAACACCGGUGGCGAAGGCGGCAUCCUGGACCAACACUGACACUGAGGAGCGAAAGCCAGGGGAGCAAACGGG
rnacentral:rRNA from 1 species